rnacentral:rRNA from 1 species
UACAGAGGUCUCAAGCGUUGUUCGGAUUCAUUGGGCGUAAAGGGCGCGUAGGCGGCGGGGUAAGUCGGGUGUGAAAUCUCAGAGCUCAACUCUGAAAUGGCACUUGAUACUGCUCUGCUAGAGGACUGGAGAGGAGAUUGGAAUUCACGGUGUAGCAGUGAAAUGCGUAGAUAUCGUGAGGAAGACCGGCGGCGAAGGCGGAUCUCUGGACAGUUCCUGACGCUGAGGCGCGAAGGCCAGGGGAGCAAACGGG